UCAAAUGCAGAUAUAAACGAGGAAUCCUGGAUUCUUGAAUGAUCCUGUGGAGCACAGCAGACCUCAGGGUGAAGAGUUCACUUAACUCAACACUGUUAAGUGAGAAUUAAGUAAACUUAUGCUGUGUUUGGCUAAGGGGGUUCAGAUCUUGUGUAGAAGAGAGGAUUAACAUUACUGAGCCCUCUCAGUCCAAUCCAGAGGGCAUCAAUAUGGUUGAGCAGAAUAACAGCACACUCUAGACAACAGAAACAACAGCCAGAGGACUGAGAAGGGAAAGACGAUUGGGAAACAGCUCAAAUAAUAUUCAAGACAUUCCAACCCCACCUUGGAACUCCCAGAGAGAUGCAAAAAAAGAAGGUGAUGUAGAUAUGCCAUAUGGCAGGUAAGGAAUAAUACUAGAACAGAUUUAAAGUUAAAUUCUUAAAGUGACUUCACCCCACCUUCAUCAGCUAAGGGAAGAUUCAGCCUGCAAUAAUCAACAAAUACUUGAAGACCUCCUGACAGGUAAAUUAUACUAUCCUGGGUGUUUUAUAGGACUUUGGGGAGAGGUAAUCUAACACCCAAUAAGUUUAUUGUCUAAUACAAUUUAAUGAAAUGUCAACUUUUCUUCCGCCAUGGAAACCACAUUUUUCCUCAGAGGUUUCCACUCAAAUUCUUUCCCGUUUUACCCCUCCUUGCGUUAUUGGUUCUGUAGCCUAGUGGAAAAGGUAUGAUAUUUUAUUUGUUUAAAGGAAUAAACCAGUGAGAUCCAGCUGAACUAUUCAAAUGACACUGAAGGACUGAAGAUUCUCAAGGAUGCAGGGUUUUGAAGAUGUUCACAAAUCAAUAUAAAGAAAUAGAGAUGAGAAGGCGGAACAAGAUGGCUGAAUAGAAGCCUCCAGCGAUUGUCCCUCCCACGAAACACCAAACAGAACAUCUAUCCACAGAAAAAAAGCAUGUUCAUAAGAACCAAAAAUCAGACGCUGAUGAACACCCACAAGCAUCAAGGCCAUCCGGGGAAACAUGAUGUCACCAAUGAACUAAAUAAGGCACCACGGACCAGUCCUAGAGAGACACAGAUAUAUUACCUUUUAGACUGAGAGUUCAAAAUAGCUGUUUUGAGGAAGCUCAACAAAAUCCAAGAUAACACA
rnacentral:lncRNA from 1 species